CACAGUUAUUGCCAGAGUCAAGUUUUGAGACGAAUUCCAAUUUUUUUUAUUUAAUACAGUGAGACACUGUACACAAGUUGCUGCUGGAGUCUGUCAUUUGACCUCUCUCAACAAGGCUCUGAGCAGUCAAAGAGCCUGUCGGAGAUCAACCAGUCCUUCGACUGGGACACUGACGUUUAUGUGACGUUUAUGUGUCAAUUUAAUAGCGUGUUGCGGAUUCGAGUCAAGCUAUAGAUGAGGUUUGUCUAAUUAUUGAUAUGACCCAGAGUAAUUCAUUUUUAUGUCAUGCAGAUUUUUAUGUCAGCCUAAGCAGCAACAUCACACACAAAUCACGCACACAAUUGUUAUUGUUGCAUACAAUUGUUAUGUUCGUAUAGGUUAGUCACAUAUCAUUACGACUUAAUCACAGAGUCCACGUGCAACCUCAAGUGUGCUUGGUGUAGACCAGGUUAGUCAAGACACAUUCAGUCAUCACACUAAACAAUCAUUAUUACCUUACACCCGUGAAAGAGGAGACCACUCCCUUGGACAGCGUACUACUACAGAGUCCUCCCUCGAGUGUACACCUGAAUGAGCUUCUGUCAACACACUAAACAACCUUCAGCAUGACAGCGUACUACAGCAUGCCACACCCGUGAAAGAGGAGACCACUCCCUUGGACAGCGUACUACUACAGAGUCCUCCCUCGAGUGUACACCUGAAUGAGCAGACCUGAAUCAACAGGUUACACAUUCAGUCAUCACACUACAGCAUGACAGCGUACUACAGCUGAAUGAGCAGCAUGCCACACCCAUGAAAGAGGAGCGUACUACAAAGUCCUCCCUCGUAGUCAAGACACAUUCUGUCAUCACAACCUUCAGCAUGACAUCGUACUACAGAGUCGUGUAGACCUGAAUCAGCAGGACACAUUCAUUAUUACAUUCAUUAUUACAUUCACAGCAUGCCACAGGUCAAGGCCGCUAGGGCCACGAACUCCCAGGUGGGGCACCCGACCAUUAGGAGCACGAGGGGGCAGCCUUCCGCUCCAAUGCAGGAGAGAUUAGGGGCAGCGCUUCCCCCUCAACCCCCUCAACAGCCCAACCAUAAUUAUUGUUUAAGAAACAUUUGAUUAGUGUGGAUGAGAAGGAGCGCACAAGCCCAUGUCCAAAUUUUUGAAAUAUGCACCAGACCCCCUCGCGGCAGAACCCGUCUGGAACCACCUCCUCAACAGAAAGCAGGUCCUGAAUUACUGCUGGACCAAGCAGUAGGUGUUAACGGGAAGCUGUCCAAGCUAGAGGCACCAAGCUAGAGGCAGCACUAAAGUUCCUCAGAGCGACUACGUACUUACAAAGAGUCACUCCACAUGUCGGAAGUUAUGUUAGGGUGGAAGUGCACUUGGAGGAAGAAUAAGUCGAUCAAGAGAGCCGUAAGGCAAGAAAUGAUAUCCACAGACGGCCUGGAGAUGGAUGACUUCCUAUUUGUCGACCCCAUCACUGAUAAACUAAUGGACGAGUGCUCAACGAUUAUAUCUAUCCCGCUCACAUUCAGAUCCUGGCAGAGACCUGGAGCAGUUAAUAACUGCCUCUUGGCGCAGGAUCAGCGUACUCUCUACGUGAUCAAGUCAUCUGGACGUGGACCUGUACGUCCAGUACAUCCGCCCUGUCCAGAUUGACGCUCUCUGGUGGACACAACUUCAAUAAAUUCAAUCAAAGAUCAAAGCAGAUAUUCCACCAUUUCGGCUACGAGAUCUCGUAAGUUAGCUGCUGCAGUGGCAGCUGGACCCGAAGGACACUGCCAGGCACCUCUCCUACUCGACCGAAACAGAGAUACACAAAGCGGUCAAAGACAAGGAAUUCUCCUCCGACACCUCGGAGGACGAAGUCUACUAGGAAACGAACACGGGAGGACUCGCCGCUCCUAAUUCCUAAGAGAGAGCAAGACCUCCGAGGAGAUAAAAACUAGAUCGACAGCACAACUGCAAGGUAUUUCUCAGCCUUAACAAUGCAGAGAGACUGCAAACAGAUCUAAACAUAAAGUACUCAUCAUAAGUACUCAUGUUUGCAGUCCUGCUGUAUUUUUGACCUGUUUACUUCUUCAUUUAUGUCACAUGACCACUUAUACCCAUGAUGAUGUCAUAUGAGGGCUUGAAAUUAAUUAGGACGCAAAAAUGUUUCAGAAACUCCUAAAGGACGGGACACCUUCCAAAAGGCCAAAAGGGACGGGACAAUUUCCAAAAGGGACGGAGAAAUUUUUACGAGAAAAUUUUGGGACGAAAAUAUGGAAAAUGGGACGAAAAAAAUGUUUUGGGCGAGGAAGUUUCGUCCCUUUUUUCUUCGCUGGCAGAGGGACGAGAUAUCGGGACGGGGACAUUUUGAGAACAAAAAAGGACGUUUUGGACCCUAAAAGGACGAACCGGAAUCAUAUUAUCUUUAUCCCUAUCCCUAACCCUAUAACUAUAACUAUAACCCUAACCGAAAUGUAUUUCUAACGCUAACCUCUAACCUCCUAACAUAUCCCUAAUACUAUAUAUAUCCCUAUCUUCUAUUAUAAUUUAUACAGUUAUACAAGUUAACAAAUAAUAUAUUGUAUAGUGGUGAUAAUUCUUAUUGUAUAAUUGAUGUAUAUUUGUGUAUAAUUAAUACAAGUUAUACAACA